rnacentral:rRNA from 1 species
UACGUAGGUGGCAAGCGUUGUUCGGAAUAACUGGGCGUAAAGGAUGCGUAGGCGGUUAAACAAGUUAUAUGUUAAAUAUAUAGGCUUAACCUGUAGAAAGCAUAUAAAACUGUUUAACUAGAGUGCAGGAGAGGUAAGUGGAAUUCCUAGUGUAGCGGUGAAAUGCGUAGAGAUUAGGAAGAACACCAGUGGCGAAGGCGACUUACUGGACUGUAACUGACGCUGAGGCAUGAGAGCAUGGGGAGCGAACAGG